rnacentral:tRNA from 1 species
GCGCAUGUAGCUCAGCCUGGCAGAGCGCCGGAGCGAUCCGGAGGUCGCGGGUUCGAUUCCCGUCAUGUGCUCCA